rnacentral:rRNA from 1 species
GCAGUCGAACGGCAGCGCGGGGCAACCUGGCGGCGAGUGGCGAACGGGUGAGUAAUAUAUCGGAACGUGCCCUGGAGUGGGGGAUAACGCAGCGAAAGUUGCGCUAAUACCGCGUACGAUCUAAGGAUGAAAGCGGGGGAUUCGCAAGAACCUCGUGCUCCUGGAGCGGCCGAUAUCUGAUUAGCUAGUUGGUGGGGUAAAGGCCUACCAAGGCAUCGAUCAGUAGCUGGUCUGAGAGGACGACCAGCCACACUGGAACUGAGACACGGUCCAGACUCCUACGGGAGGCAGCAGUGGGGAAUUUUGGACAAUGGGGGCAACCCUGAUCCAGCAAUGCCGCGUGAGUGAAGAAGGCCUUCGGGUUGUAAAGCUCUUUUGUCGGGGAAGAAACGGAUUGGUUUAAUACACUGAUCUAAUGACGGUACCCGAAGAAUAAGGAUCGGCUAACUCCGUGCCAGCAGCCGCGGUAAUACGGAGGAUCCAAGCGUUAUCCGGAUUUAUUGGGUUUAAAGGGUGCGUAGGCGGUUCUUUAAGUCAGGGGUGAAAGACGGUAGCUUAACUAUCGCAGUGCCUUUGAUACUGAAGAACUUGAAUACACUUGAGGUAGGCGGAAUGUGACAAGUAGCGGUGAAAUGCAUAGAUAUGUCACAGAACACCAAUUGCGAAGGCAGCUUACUAAAGUGUCAUUGACGCUGAGGCACGAAAGCGU